ACGGAACAAUUAAGCCUGAUAUAAAUUUCAUAUUUACCCACAUUUCAGUUUCUAAAUGAGGAGAAGUAGGUAAAAACAAAACUGGACCCAGCUGAACUGCAAUAUGUAGAAAUAUACAGAGUGCACCCCUGUGAACCUCAGUUCUGUCAACUCCUUCAGUUCUAUGUGUGUUGACAACAUUCAUCUGCCUCAAGUGUUACCAACUUUUCCACCUACUUUUAGAGAACCCUCCCUCCAAUGCUUUGUAGUAACUCAAGCAGCAACCUUCCUGUCACCCUCAGGUAUACGUCAGGUCUUUUUAAAAAUGAAGGGUCAUAUUUAUAGAAUUAUAUAUUCCUUAACCAUAUAACAUGUAAAGCAUAUUAUUUUCUUUUUUGUGUGUCAUAAAGAUUUUGAUUUUUGUGCCCUUAACCUGACCAUUUUUUUCCCCCAAAGUUCUGUUUUCUUAAUGAUGUGAUUUUGCACAGUGUGGCAAUUUUUGGAAAUGCUUGUGUUAUAGUAAAACUGACAUUCUACAUUCAAAGACGUCCUACUAUAAUUCACAUUAAGACAGGAAAUGAUAAAAUAAUCAGCAUUGGACUCAGAAAACAGGAAUUUAAGUUGGUCUAUUACCAUUUGCUAAUCAUAAUAGCUUGCCUAAGGCCCUUAAGUUAUCUGAGCCCAAAUUGUUGUCUGUAAAUUGGAGCUGAUGGUAACUGAUGUCCUUUUAGGGUUAUUCUUACUUUCAAACAAGACAGUUUGUGCAAACACUUUGUAAAAUUAUCACUGUAGAAAUAAAGUUUGAAAAUGUCGAUAGUGGUAAAAAGACACCUUUUGGACCAAUUUUAAGAUGAGAUGAUUAUGACAUUUUUCUGAGUGAAUGGACACAUUUUUUUUUUUUGCCUUGAAAGCCCAUUGUGCUCUAGAAUUCUGUACCACAUUAACAGUGUACAUGAGCAGUGAUUAAUGUCAUUGUGACAUUUGUUUGUUGAAAGCAACUGAGUCUUAAUUUACAUGUUUAUAAAAUUAACUGCAAGAGAACAUCAGAAGAGGAAGAGUUUAGUUCUGAAGUUUUUUUGUCAGUGUAAAACAAUCAGUAUUAUGUUUUCAAAUUAAAUAGCCCAUAAAAAUGGAUUUCUCCUAACUAGAAACCUAAAUCUUAGUUUUAUAAUAAAUUUUAAACUUUGUUUACUAACUUCAAUUUUUAACCUCUUAAGAAUCUUUAUUUAGAAAAUACUACCCACUAUGUUCUAGCUUAGAUACUGGGGGGAUAAAACAGCCACUAAGACACAAUUUCUUCCCGUGAUGGGAUUUUUGGUUCAGUAAACAAUCACAUAGUUUCAUACAUUUUAUGGAGGAAACUACUAGAUAUUAUUACAGUAUGCCGGUCCAUUGGCAGGUAGGAAAGGAUUCUUGGGAGCUAUUUAUAUAAGAAUUACCUGGGCUUAAGGGAAGGGUGAGGGACAUAAAUUGUAGACAGAGUAGUUGGUAUAGGGGAGAAAACACAUUUAAUUAAGACUGUAGCAUCCUGGAGAAACCAAAGUUUCAGAAUGGCUAAGUCAUAAAUUAUUAGGCAAGAAAUGAAUAGAGGCAUAGGAAGAAGUCAGGUUAUAGGUCAUGCUGAAAAGUUUUUAGUAUUCUGAAAAGAGCAAAUACCCAGUAGGGAUUUUAAACAUAAUUAUUGGUAAAUUGAAUUUAGAAAAAUGGACAGAGUUUGAAGAGAGAACAGUGGUGAAUUUAGCAUGUUCAUUGAAGUAUUCCUUUUGAUUAGUUUUUUUUUUCUAACUAAA
rnacentral:lncRNA from 1 species